AUGAACGCUGGCGGCGUGCUUAACACAUGCAAGUCGAACGAUGAAGCCCAGCUUGCUGGGUGGAUUAGUGGCGAACGGGUGAGUAACACGUGAGUAACCUGCCCUUAACUCUGGGAUAAGCCUGGGAAACUGGGUCUAAUACCGGAUAGGAGCGCCUACCGCAUGGUGGGUGUUGGAAAGAUUUAUCGGUUUUGGAUGGGCUCGCGGCCUAUCAGCUUGUUGGUGAGGUAAUGGCUCACCAAGGCGACGACGGGUAGCCGGCCUGAGAGGGUGACCGGCCACACUGGGACUGAGACACGGCCCAGACUCCUACGGGAGGCAGCAGUGGGGAAUAUUGCACAAUGGGCGAAAGCCUGAUGCAGCGACGCCGCGUGAGGGAUGACGGCCUUCGGGUUGUAAACCUCUUUCAGUAGGGAAGAAGCGAAAGUGACGGUACCUGCAGAAGAAGCACCGGCUAACUACGUG
rnacentral:rRNA from 1 species